CCCUUAGAUGUCCGGGGCCGCACGCGCGCUACACUGAAGGAAUCAGCGUGGCUUUCUCCCUGACCCGAAAGGGUUGGGAAACCCGUUGAAUCUCCUUCGUGAUAGGGAUUGGGGCUUGAAAUUGUUCCCCAUGAACGAGGAAUUCCCAGUAAGCGCGAGUCAUAAGCUCGCGUUGAUUACGUCCCUGCCCUUUGUACACACCGCCCGUCGCACCUACCGAUUAAAUGACUCGGUGAAAAAUUGGGACCGUGAGUCUGUUUGCUUCAUUGCGAGUGGAUUGAUGGGAACUUUUUUAAACCUCGCCAUUUAGAGGAAGGUGAAGUCGUAACA
rnacentral:rRNA from 1 species